UACAGAGGUCUCAAGCGUUGUUCGGAUUCAUUGGGCGUAAAGGGUGCGUAGGCGGCGCGGUAAGUCGGGUGUGAAAUCUCGGAGCUUAACUCCGAAACUGCAUUCGAUACUGCCGUGCUUGAGGACUGGAGAGGAGACUGGAAUUUACGGUGUAGCGGUGAAAUGCGUAGAUAUCGGGAGGAACACCGGUGGCGAAGGCGGUUCUCUGGGCCUUACCUGACGCUGAGGAGCGAAAGCGUGGGGGAGCGAGCAGG
rnacentral:rRNA from 1 species